rnacentral:lncRNA from 1 species
AUCUCAUGUGCUAUGGUAUAUUAAUAGUAAUUAAUGUGAUUUUUGUUUCUAUUUUAUGCAAUAGUAAUAAUAAUCAGUUGUAGAGGGGCGUAAUAUUACUGUAAAUAUCCAUGCUAGUAUAUGUUUGUUUUCAUGUAGAGUGGUUUAUGAUGCUUUCUGCAGUUUGGAAAAUUAUUUCAGACGUUGGUGUCUCUUCUUUUCAAUAAGAUAUCAGCUACUUGAGAGCCAGGAAAUAUUAUAUACCUAUGUCGGAUUUAUUUAUGUUUCUUUAAUCCUUUACUCUGCUCCUCCAGCACAGGCUUAUUUUGAUAAAUAGUCAUUGAAUCGAGUUCUCAUUAUUAGUAGUAUGAUAAAUUAUAAUAGUACUGCUUAAUAUAUCUUGUUAUUUUAAUGUGCUUUCUUAAAGAAAAAUUAUGAUAUUAAUAUUAUGAGAAUCAUUAACAAAAUUUGCAAGCUUUCAUCAGAAGUUUUGUUUUGUUUUGUUUUUUUGUCUUUUUGUCUCUUUAGGGCCGCAUCCGCGGCAUAUGGAUGUUCCCAGGCUAGGGGUCGAAUCAGAUCUGUACCCACUGGCCUACAUCACAACUCACAGCAACACCAGAUCCUUAACCCACUGAGCAAGGCCAGGGAUCAAACCCGAGUCCUCAUGGGUGCUAGUUGGGUUCGCUAACCACUAAGCCACGAUGGGAACUCCACUUCUAGCACAUCUGACCGCCACCUUCAGAAUAAUGCGGUUUUAAAGUUAAAAAAAUGUUUUAAUUACACUAAGUUGGCCUUUUUAAAAAAAAUGUAGCAUUUUAUUCUUAGAUCACCAGAGACUGUUUCUAAGAUACUUGACCAUCUUAUUUGAGGGUUCAAGAAUCUAUAGCAGGAUAGUCCAGAAGUGAAUGUAGAAAAAGGUGUUAAUUUAGGUGUCUGUUCAAUUCUAACAUUCAUAUAAAAACUAGGAAAGUAAAUAAAUAUAUGACUAUUUUCUACAGUGGAUGUUUGGGAGAAAUGAAGGUAUGAAUUUUGACUAAGCUUUCCAGGAAAGACUGUUGCAUGUUUAUCAGAUGAAAUUUGCCUUUCUAUCUCCCUCUGGUGCAGGGUUGAGAAUGUUGAUGGGCUUUUCCACUGCAGUGUCAGGCUUUUAAAUUGGAAAAUGUAAUUCUGUUGCUCUCUACUAAGCUCACAGAAAAUUACUUUACUUGACCUUCCCCAUGGCGAAUUCUCUGAUAACUUUGAUGCUCUCAAAGAGUGUUCUUUCUGCACUGUUGAAAUCCUGUGCGUCUGGCAGCACCUUCAGCAUCUUAGUGUUACAAAAAAGUACAUUUGGUGUAUAGAAAUGGCCAUUGUAUGCUUAGCAAGUAUAAAAAUAUCUUGUGAAUUAUAUUCAAAUGUUCAGAAUCCCAUUGUGUUACUGAAUUGAGUUUAUUCAUCUCACACCUUGAACAAAUGUCCUGGGCUCCAGCAGUGCAAGUCACCAUGAACUGACCCCUAAAGGAUCUGUGAAUAGAACUGGGGAGAGGGAGGCCCAUGAACUUGUAU